UAAAUGUGAAUGCAGCAGGAAAUGACGUCAGGACCGCAGGAGUUGUUUGGAAAACUGAGUGGCACAAAGCGAGGGAGCCAGCAGCCGUGAAAAAAGGAGACACGAAAGGAAAAAGUUGAGGUGGCAAAGCUAAAGGUGGAAAUCAAAUUCCUACAUGAUGAAUGCACAGUUUUGAAGGAACAUGUGGACAAAUUAACAUCUGUUCCUGACAUGGCUGCAGGUCCUUCAGCAGGAUGGAGAGGGGCAGAAGAUUCCGCAUCCUGCUUUCUGAUAGACGAAAAAAAGGAAAAGCACAAGAAGAAGAAGAUCAAGAAGAACAAAAAAUAUAACAUUUUACCUAAAAGAAACAUAUAAUCAAUGAUGAUUGUAAAUAAAUAAAUAAAUAAGUUUAAUGUUA